rnacentral:tRNA from 1 species
GGGUGAGUAGCUCAGUUGGUAGAGCGGCUGGUUGAUACCCAGUGCGUCGGCGGUUCGAUUCCGUCUUCACCCA